rnacentral:pre_miRNA from 1 species
GAAAACCUAUAAGCUACCGUUGAAUUAUGAAAUAGGCGCCUAAUAUUUGUCCGCGUUAUCGAGAGUAAACAUUUUACUAGUAAUUCAACCAUGAGCAAAAAAAUUGUCUGGGAGUAAAAUUUUACUCUCGAUGAUGUGUAUAAAUCUCAGGUGUUCAGUUUUAGUUUUAACGGUAGUUUCCAGAUUUUC